rnacentral:tRNA from 1 species
GGUAAGGUGGCUGAAUUAGGCGGUAGACUGUAAACCUACUUAUAAGGAAACACUCCUUCCUUUCCA